rnacentral:rRNA from 1 species
GGUUCGAUUAUGGCUCAGAUUGAACGCUGGCGGGAUACUUUACACAUGCAAGUCGAACGGCAGCACGGACUUCGGUCUGGUGGCGAGUGGCGAACGGGUGAGUAAUGUAUCGGAACGUGCCUAGUAGCGGGGGAUAACUACGCGAAAGCGUAGCUAAUACCACAUAUACGCCCUGUCGAAGCGGGGGACCUUCGGGCCUCGCACUAUUGGAAGCGGCCGAUAUCCGGAUUAGCUGGUUGGUGGGGUAACGGCUCACCAAGGCGACGAUCCGUAGCUGGUUUGAAAAAGGACGACCAGCCACACUGGGACUGAGACACGGCCCAGACUCCUACGAGGAGGCAGCAGUGGGGAAUUUUUGGACAAUGGGGGAAACCUGAUCCAGCCAUCCCGCGUGUGCGAUGACCUUCGGGUUGUAAAGCACUUUUGGCAGGAAAAGAAGCUUGGCUGGGAUAAUACCCCGUGCAACUGACAGUACCUGCAGAAUAAGCACCGGCUAACUACGGUGCAAACAGCCGCGUGUACGUAAGUUGCAAGCGUUAAUCGGAAUUACUGGGCGUAAAGCGUGCGCAGGCGGUUCCGGAAAGAAAGAUGUGAAAUCCCAGAGCUAACCUGGAACUGCAUUUUUAACUUCCGAGCUGAAGUGUGUCAGAGGGAGGUGGAAUUCCGCGUGUAGCAGUGAAAUGCGUAGAUAUGCGAGGAGGAACACCGAUGGCGAAGGCAGCCUCACCAGGAUAACACUGACGCUCAUGCACGAAAAAGCGUGGGAGCAAACAGGAUUGAAUACCCUGGUAGUCCACGCCACAAUGAUGUCAACUAGCUGUUGGGGCCUUCGGGCCUUGGUAGCGCAGCUAACGCGUGAAGUUGACCGCCUGGGGAGUACGGUCGCAAGAUUAAAACUCAAAGGAAUUGACGGGGACCCGCAAGCGGUGGAUGAUGUGGAUUAAUUCGAUGCAACGCGAAAAACCUUACCUACCACUUGACAUGUCUGGAAUCCCGAAGAGAUUUAGGAGUGCUCGCAAAACCGGAACACAGGUGCUGCAUGGCUGUCGUCAGCUCGUGUCGUGAGAUGUUGGGUUAAGUCCCGCAACGAGCGCAACCCUUGUCAUUAGUUGCUACGAAAGGGCACUCUAAUGAGACUGUCGGUGACAAACCGGAGGAAGGUGGGGAUGACGUCAAGUCCUCAUGGCCCUUAUGGGUAGGGCUUCACACGUCAUACAAUGGUCGGGACAGAGGUCGCCAACCCGCGAGGGGGCCAAUCCCAGAAACCCGAUCGUAGUCCGGAUCGCAGUCUGCAACUCGACUGCGUGAUCGAAUCGCUAGUAAUCGCGGAUCAGCAUGUCGCGGUGAAUACGUUCCCGGGUCCUGUACACACCGCCGUCACCAUGGGAGUGGGUUUUACCAGAAGUAGUUAGCCUAACCGUAAGGAGGGCGAUUACCGGUGAUUCAUGACUGGGGUGAAGUCGUAACAGGUAG